rnacentral:rRNA from 1 species
ACAAUGACUCUCGGCAACGGAUAUCUCGGCUCUCGCAUCGAUGAAGAACGUAGCGAAAUGCGAUACUUGGUGUGAAUUGCAGAAUCCCGUGAACCAUCGAGUCUUUGAACGCAAGUUGCGCCCGAAACCAUUAGGUUGAGGGCACGUCUGCCUGGGUGUCACAC